rnacentral:rRNA from 1 species
GACGAACGCUGGCGGCGUGCUUAACACAUGCAAGUCGAACGGAAAGGCCCUGCUUUUGUGGGGUGCUCGAGUGGCGAACGGGUGAGUAACACGUGAGUAACCUGCCCUUGACUUUGGGAUAACUUCAGGAAACUGGGGCUAAUACCGGAUAGGAGCUCCUGCAGCAUGGUGGGGGUUGGAAAGUUUCGGCGGUUGGGGAUGGACUCGCGGCUUAUCAGCUUGUUGGUGGGGUAGUGGCUUACCAAGGCUUUGACGGGUAGCCGGCCUGAGGGGGUGACCGGCCACAUUGGGACUGAGAUACGGCCCAGACUCCUACGGGAGGCAGCAGUGGGGAAUAUUGCACAAUGGGCGGAAGCCUGAUGCAGCAACGCCGCGUGCGGGAUGACGGCCUUCGGGUUGUAAACCGCUUUCGCCUGUGACGAAGCGUGAGUGACGGUAAUGGGUAAAGAAGCACCGGCUAACUACGUG